rnacentral:rRNA from 1 species
AGAGUUUGAUCCUGGCUCAGGAUGAACGCUGGCGGCGUGCUUAACACAUGCAAGUCGAACGAGCCUUCGGGCUAGUGGCGGACGGGUGAGUAACGCGUGGGAAUCUGCCCUCAGGAGGGGGAUAACGGCCGGAAACGGCCGCUAAUACCCCAUAUGCCGAGAGGUGGAACGAAAUUCGCCUGGGGAUGAGCCCGCGUCUGAUUAGCUAGUUGGUGUGGUAAUGGCGCACCAAGGCAUCGAUCAGUAGCUGGUCUGAGAGGAUGAUCAGCCACACUGGGACUGAGACACGGCCCAGACUCCUACGGGAGGCAGCAGUGGGGAAUUUUCCGCAAUGGGCGCAAGCCUGACGGAGCAACGCCGCGUGAGGGACGAAGGCCUCUGGGCUGUAAACCUCUUUUCUCAAGGAAGAAGACAUGACGGUACUUGAGGAAUAAGCCACGGCUAAUUCCGUGCCAGCAGCCGCGGUAAUACGGGAGUGGCAAGCGUUAUCCGGAAUUAUUGGGCGUAAAGCGUCCGCAGGCGGCCUUGAAAGUCUGUUGUUAAAGCGUGGAGCUCAACUCCAUUUAAGCAAUGGAAAUUACAAGGCUAGAGUGUGGUAGGGGCAGAGGGAAUUCCCGGUGUAGCGGUGAAAUGCGUAGAUAUCGGGAAGAACACCAGUGGCGAAGGCGCUCUGCUGGGCCAUAACUGACGCUCAUGGACGAAAGCCAGGGGAGCGAAAGGGAUUAGAUACCCCUGUAGUCCUGGCCGUAAACGAUGAACACUAGGUGUCGGGAGAAUUAACCCUUUCGGUGUCGUAGCCAACGCGUUAAGUGUUCCGCCUGGGGAGUACGCACGCAAGUGUGAAACUCAAAGGAAUUGACGGGGGCCCGCACAAGCGGUGGAGUAUGUGGUUUAAUUCGAUGCAACGCGAAGAACCUUACCAGGGUUUGACAUCCUGCGAAUCCCUUGGAAACUUGGGAGUGCCUUCGGGAGCGCAGUGACAGGUGGUGCAUGGCUGUCGUCAGCUCGUGUCGUGAGAUGUUGGGUUAAGUCCCGCAACGAGCGCAACCCACGUCUUUAGUUGCCAGCAUUCAGUUGGGCACUCUAGAGAGACCGCCGGUGAUAAACCGGAGGAAGGUGUGGAUGACGUCAAGUCAUCAUGCCCCUUACAUCCUGGGCUACACACGUACUACAAUGCUACGGACAAAGGGCAGCAAACUCGCGAGAGCUAGCAAAUCCCAUAAACCGUGGCUCAGUUCAGAUCGUAGGCUGCAACUCGCCUACGUGAAGGAGGAAUCGCUAGUAAUCGCAGGUCAGCAUACUGCGGUGAAUACGUUCCCGGGCCUUGUACACACCGCCCGUCACACCAUGGAAGUUGGCCAUGCCCGAAGUCGUUACUCCAACCCGCAAGGGAGGAGGACGCCGAAGGUGGGGCUGAUGACUGGGGUGAAGUCGAAACAAGGUA